CCGCCGGCCUUUUUGCGUGGCUUUCUCUAGUGACGCUCUACGUUGGCUCAGCUUCCCCGCCCCCAAUCUCGGCUCUGGUCACUUGCCUUUCUACCGCUGGAGCGUACGGCCUUCUUCCUUUCUGCGUUCUCUUCUCUCCCGGUUUUGAUUUGUUUUUCUAAAUCUUCCGAAAGGCGUUUCAUUUUUCACUCGUAUCAGAAGUGAUAUAAAAUCGUUAUCCUAUCAGUCCCUGUUUCUCAUUAGAGAAGAAAUCUAAUUCAUGCUCACUUUCUUGAAAAAUAGUUUUAACAGUAAACAAAAGGCAAACCAAAAAAUGAAGAAUGCGUUCUCCUUGUCAAAAAGACCUCAUCCACCACCCUCCUUUCCAGACGGAGGGCCUACCAAGUUCUGAAGACACUUCUAAACUAUGUAAAUUCAGCAGUGAGUAAAACAAAGUCCUUCCUCUCAUGAAGCUUUCAUUCUAAUGAGAAAGAUAAUAAACAGCUUCUAUUUCUUCAUGGGCCUCUCUUUAAAGAAGACACUCAAGCCACAGUAAACCAUUUGUAGCUCCAAAGAACAUAUUGUAAGUUUUCCUAAUUCUGUAGCUUUGUUUAUGCUUCAUUCUUUGCUUUGGCUGCCAGGAGUGCCCUUCCUCAUCCUGUACACCGGUUAACACCUGGUUUUCUUUGAAGACAAAUAAAAACUUAUGUCCUGUAUGAAACUUCUUCUGACCACUUCCCUUUUUCCUUUGCUUAGAAUUUAUUUUUCCCACUUUAUAGCUCAAACUUAAAAAAAAAAUUGCUUCUGUAAUGUUUUAUUGCAUUUGCUUGCUUUACUUAUGUGUGUUAGGGAAAUUAAAAGUCUUGUUCAGGCUUCAGAAAGUAGGACAACAGGCCUCUGACCAACUUUCGACCUGCCUGCACCCUGCCUGGACUAUGAGUCUGCCUGCAAGCACACCAGCUGUUACCAGCAAGUCAAGCAGCAACUUAGAUAAGAAAGGGAGUGGGUCUUAGAAUUUCUUGAGCCCCUGGGGCUCAAGUAGCGCCUGCAACUGAUGAUGAUAUUAGUUUUCAGCCUGGGAUUAUAAAUGGGAGCCUGCCUCCACCCCCCAAACUGCAAUCUGAAGUCUCAACCAUGGAGUGGAUGCACCGCCCAGGACCCUUUCCCCUAAUAGGACUCCGGAUUGCUGUUACUCAGGACUUCCCAGUGCUGUUCAAGUCGGGAUGCAGGU